rnacentral:tRNA from 1 species
GGAGUUGUGGCUCAGUGGUGGAGUGCUUGCUGACAUGCAUGGGGCACUGGGUUCAAUCCUCAGCACCA